rnacentral:rRNA from 1 species
CCUACGGGAGGCAGCAGUGAGGAAUAUUGGUCAAUGGGCGGGAGCCUGAACCAGCCAAGCCGCGUGAGGGAAGAAGGUCCUAUGGAUCGUAAACCUCUUUAGGCGGGGAGCAAUGCCGGGCACGCGUGCCCGGAGGGAGAGUACCCGCAGAAUAAGCAUCGGCUAACUCCGUGCCAGCAGCCGCGGUAAGACGGAGGAUGCGAGCGUUAUCCGGAUGUAUUGGGUUUAAAGGGUGCGUAGGCGGAUUUUUAAGUCAGCGGUAAAAGGUCGGGGCUCAACCCGGGCCGGCCGUUGAAACUGGGAAUCUUGAGUGGGAGAGAAGUAUGCGGAAUGCGAGGUGUAGCGGUGAAAUGCAUAGAUAUCACGCAGAACUCCGAUUGCGAAGGCAGCAUACCGGCGCCAGACUGACGCUGAGGCACGAAAGCGUGGGGAUCGAACAGGAUUAGAUACCCGUGUAGUC